ACCCUAGCUUGGUUCUAAAUCCCACGGUGCCUUCUCCUUGGGAAAAACAGAGAAGGCACUGUGGGAUUUAGAACCAAGUUAGG
rnacentral:pre_miRNA from 8 species